AAAAGUGAAAAAUACGAUUAAUUCUGAUUAUAUAAACACAAUUAAACGGGUCCACAAAAUACAAUAUUGAUAGUGGUAGUAUACUUUAUUUUCGGUAGUGCAUAGUUACUUCCCUUUAACCAAACAACGGCAUUUGCACCGGUCGUCCGAUAAGAAAAGAACAUUGGGCUCCGUACCAAUAAGUUGAUCACAACCAUGGACCAUGUGUACUCAGCUGCAGAGACAGAACUGGGUCAAGAGGUAGAGAUAGAGCUGCCCAACAGCACUGAGGCAAAUGUAACAGCUGCAGUUGAAAUUUUGGAUACUCAGCACGCUCAGAUUGAUGAAUGCACAAGUACAGGUAGUCAAUCCAUGAAAUCCAUGAGUACACAGCACCAUAAAGGCCCAAUCAACCUGGGAUAUAUCUCUAACAGAAGGGCAAGGCAAAAGUGUUUUUCAAAAAGAUUGAAGACUUAAGUCUCGGGCAAUGGCUCUUCACAACCUGUGUGGGGUGAAGGUGGAGCUCAGGGUGGCUCUGCUACCAGUAGCCUUCAGACAUGUGAAGCUGCAGACAGGCGAGAGCAGCUUCGCAUGUCAAAGAGGAACAGUUGUAUCAUCCCCUCCUCCCCAGAUACACACACCAAAGAAGAAAAAGGUGAUCAACAAUAUGCCAGGGUAGAGGCCUGCAGAGAAGGCUAUUAAGCCAGUGACGGCUGUCAACAACAAAUGCUCAGUUUGCUCAAUUAUAUUUAAUUCUAAAGCAGACAAACUUUUCAGGAAAAGUUUGAUAUAGCGGAUGGACGUCAGCGGAGGUAACUAGAGUCAUGGAUCGGGACCAGGGCAUAACUUGCCAACAACAAAAAAAAGAGAAAAUUUUAGUGUGGUGUAAAAGUAAAACAGAAUGACAAGAGAGAAGUAAGUUCAGAAUUGAAAAGAUGCAGGUCUUUAUUCUACAUGGUGAAAGAGGAAUUUUUAGUGGAUUUUUGGAUUUACCAGUGAAACCUGUGAAGUGAUUAGUGAAGCAGAAUAGUUACAGAUCAUAAGAGAUGCAGGUCUUUGUUCAGCUUGAUGUAUAUGGAAAACAUAGUGGAUGGCCAGCUAGAAAAUAUUUAAGGAGUCUAUAGGACUGUGAUGUGUGUACCAGUCUAUCAGGCUAUCCCAUUCUGUCUAGUCAACAAAUUUGCAGUGGCUACAUGGAUUCCCAUGUAACUUGAGCAAUAUAUGAGGCAGAGCUAUCAGCAGAUUGCCAGAGACACAGCAAGAAGUACCCAUUUUUUUCCACAUGUAUGGCCAUGAACAGAUUUUCACAGAAAAAGUAAGAAAAUGAGAUGCAGAUGAUCAAUAGAUUUGUAUGACCUGGUAACUGGAGUGCAAAGUCAGACAAAACAGCACCAGUUGCUGAGGUCCAAGUUUCCCAGAAAUGGAUAAUUUUAAGGCCCAGUGGAAUCAGAGAUUACAUUUAUUGGUGAUAAUUUGACAAAGCCUGAGUUGUAGAGUUUUUACAUGAGACAGUUAGGGAGAGUGAGUUUACAUUUUGAUGGAACCACGUUACAGGUUGCAGUAUCAGACAGAAUCCUAGGAAACCCAUACUAAAUAAAGGACCAACACAAUCAGACAAGUUGGCAUGAUUUUACAUUCAAGAACUGGUUACAGUCUGCCCAAGAUUCAAGUCUGGAGAUACCAUUGGCCGAUCUUAGAAUCUCUUUUUUAUACCCCCACAAAACUAAGUUUGUGGGGGUCUAUAGGAGUGAGCUUGUCGGUCAGUCGGUCGGACCAGUUGGUUUUCAUGGUUUCCAGACAAUAAUUCAUGAAAAGUUAGACAGAUUGAGAUUUAUUUUGCUACACAGGUGUAACAUUAUAAAAUACAGGUCAAGUUUGACUUUGAGGUCAGUAGGUCAAAGAUCAAGGUCACAAUGACCCAGAACAGUUAAACGGUUUCCAGAUGAAAACUUGA
rnacentral:misc_RNA from 1 species